CCGAUAACAUCGACACGCCGUCAAGCAUUCAGAAAUCAACCGAGUAAAAUGUCACCGGCUGCAGUAAAAGAGGAGCCCCUGCGUUUCCAACAUUCGACUGUGUGCAAAAUAAUGCACACAAAAGUUGCUGUUCACAGACUAGAAGAUCUAUAUGUCACCCAAGCCCAUCGUCCUGAGCACCAGGAGUCUGCAUGCAUUCAGAAGGAGGAAGAGUCACCAUACAUCAAGGAUGAGGAAGAGUUUCAGCAAAUAUCUUGGUCCUGAGUGGCAGGUGUCUGAGUCUCCUUCCAUUAAAGAAGAAUUUCAGCGCCCGCAAAUGAAACAGGAACAGCCAGACCACCCUCAACAGCAAAAGAGAGAAGAGCAACUUCCAAUCAAAAAGGUGGAGGUAGAGCUGCCAUCAGGGGCGGACUGGUAAUCUGUGGGUUCUGGAGGAUCACAGAACGGCCGGUGCCCUGGACGGCCGGCGGCCGCCAUUCAUUAUGCAUCACUGUUUUUAUCCCCCCUAUCCUCUGAUUAUCUACAGUUCGCAUCCAAUCCGACAGGUGGCAGCAAUGCGCCUGGCUUUUCACCUCCAAUCUGAUAGACUAGGAACGACGAAAGCACAGAGUAGCCUUCAUUGGUUCCUUCCUUGUGGAAGCAAAAUAGCGACGAGUGUUAAUGCACAAUAUGGAUGGUGGUGGCAAAAAAACUGAAAAGAGCAGGGUGGCGCGGAGAAGGUUAGAGAGAAAAAAUUAAAGAAACUGGAGAGUGAAGCAUUAAAAUGUCAUAAAUCGACAAAUAUUUUCGCAAGCAGCAGUCUGGCUGCAACGGCCACGUCGGGUAACAACAGCUCAGCUCCCGGCGAUGGUGAGAGGGAGCUGCAGCCGCUCUGACGUGCAGACGGUGCUGGGAGAGAGAAAAGAAGAGGGAGGGGGCAACGAUAAACUGUUGGAAGUUCCCCAGACAAGCGCAGGGCAAGUAAAUUGGGAUGAAGAGGGUUACUUGCUCUGUAAACUGGCAAUUGUUAUCCAUCAGGUAGCUACAUUUUAAAUCAAAUAAAUGACAAUUAAAGGGUUAGUGCCAGCUAGUCGAUGUACCCGUUUGCAAUCGUGUCAAGUUACAGUAUGCUAGUCCUACUAUCCCUCUCCUAAGAAAAAAUAUUUUAGCCGUAAAACAAUGUAUGCACACGCAGCAUAGCAAUAUUAAUUCAGAAGAAAUAUAACAAAAUAUUAAUAAAAUGAAUGGUUUUACUUUAAAGUUUAGGUAGUUAAAUUGAUGUUAUAUACAUUAUUAAUCAUAUAUAUAUCGUUUUGUUUUCUGGUUAAUACUUUCCAAUGAAGUUUAUGUAUACAGGAUUUGUCUUGAAAUGUGUAUUGUAUUUUCAUUGAAAUUUAUUAUUUGUAUGGCAAGAUUAAUUAUGGCAGGGGUCUCCAAACCGGUCCUCAAGGGCCGCUGUGGGGCCUGGUUUUUGUUUUAACCGAUCGAGUACCGACAGUUUAACCAAUGAAGUUUCUGCUAAAACAAGCAGCACCUGACUGCAAUCAACUGAUUACACUUGUAAGACACCAGAUUGGUGCAGAGGUUUUGUCUUGUAUUGUUGGAAUGAAAUCCUGCGCCCGCCGCAGCCCUAUGUGGAAUAGUUUGGAGACCACUGAAUUAUGGC